UCUGAGGUGAGUUUGGCCUCGUACUUUAAGGAAAUUGAGGUGUGGAAACAAAAGACAAUCUUGAACAGAAGACCAACAUAACUGCACAUUAAGUAGAGAAAAAGCCUGAAAGUACAGAAAAAAGGGUCAUCCUUGGAUUUCAGAACUACAAUGAUAUAACAGUACCUACUGAUAUUCUAAUAUUUAGGCUCAUGAAAUCCUGUAUGCGCUCAUCAUAUCUAUAUAAAGUUACAUUAAGAGUGUGGAUGAAACAGGACAUGAUGUUGCACCAUAGAUGUUACUAAGUAUCUUGCCUACACCUUCAAGUAUGCAAUUUUGACCAAGAUGGAUGUUCUGAUCUUGAGCAUAGGAGGCCCUAGUUAAUUAGAUCCUCCUCCAGUUGAGAAGGAAGUAGUGGAUACUCUUAUUUGUAUGAGAGACUUUGGCAGGCAGGAAUUAUAGUCAGGAGUACUAGAUGCCAAUGCUGAAACUGGUGCAUCCAAAGAGAACUAAGUGCUUUUGUUCUUGAUCUUGGUUGUUCUCUUCAGGUAUUUCCACUCCAAAUCUUAGGUGUUUGAGAUUUGGAGUUGAGCAUCCAGCUGCUUAAGUUGAUAGAUACAUUUGUCAUGCAUGUAACCUAUAUUCUUGUACCAACUAAGCAGCUGGAGAGGAUUUUGUUUUUGUCCGAGAGUACUUGAAUAAAAUUAAAUUGUUUUUGGGUAG